GUGAAUCAUCAAAUUUUUGAACGCAAAUUGCACUUUCUGGGAUUCCGGAAAGUAUGCGAGUGUGAGGGUAAGAAAAAUUAAAAUCGGUGUUGUUGCUACCCGACGUGGUGUGUGAUGCAUCGGAAUUGAGUCGUUCUUUACCAUGGGGUUAAGUGACUUAAAAUUAUGUUCGAUUUUUGAACGUAUAUAAAUUAUUACUUACGUUCGUAAUAACACAUAUUAGUUACGGU
rnacentral:misc_RNA from 1 species